UCCGUAGGUGAACCUGCGGAGGGAUCAUUACACAAAUAUGAAGGCGGGCUGGAACCUCUCGGGGUUACAGCCUUGCUGAAUUAUUCACCCUUGUCUUUUGCGUACUUCUUGUUUCCUUGGUGGGUUCGCCCACCACUAGGACAAACAUAAACCUUUGUAAUUGCAAUCAGCGUCAGUAACAAAUUAAUAAUUACAACUUUCAACAACGGAUCUCUUGGUUCUGGCAUCGAUGAAGAACGCAGCGAAAUGCGAUAAGUAGUGUGAAUUGCAGAAUUCAGUGAAUCAUCGAAUCUUUGAACGCACAUUGCGCCCCUUGGUAUUCCAAAGGGCAUGCCUGUUCGAGCGUCAUUUGUACCCUCAAGCUUUGCUUGGUGUUGGGCGUCUUGUCUUAGCUUUGCUGGAGACUCGCCUUAAAGUAAUUGGCAGCCGGCCUACUGGUUUCGGAGCGCAGCACAAGUCGCACUCUCUAUCAGCAAAGGUCUAGCAUCCAUUAAGCCUUUUUUUCAACUUUUGACCUCGGAUCAGGUAGGGAUACCCGCUGAACUUAAGCAUAUCAAUAAGCGGAGGA
rnacentral:rRNA from 1 species